CAGGGCUUAGUAUAAAUUAAGUAUAUCAGUUUUGGGAAUUGAUGGUUCUAAAUGGAAGUCCUGA
rnacentral:tRNA from 1 species